CAUUAGCUAGUUGGUGAGGUAACGGCUCACCAAGGCGACGAUGCGUAGCCGACCUGAGAGGGUGAUCGGCCACACUGGGACUGAGACACGGCCCAGACUCCUACGGGAGGCAGCAGUAGGGAAUCUUCCGCAAUGGACGAAAGUCUGACGGAGCAACGCCGCGUGAGUGAUGAAGGUUUUCGGAUCGUAAAGCUCUGUUGUUAGGGAAGAACAAGUGCAAGAGUAACUGCUUGCACCAUGACGGUACCUAACCAGRAAGCCACGGCUAACUACGUGCCAGCAGCCGCGGUAAUACGUAGGUGGCAAGCGUUGUCCGGAAUUAUUGGGCGUAAAGGGCUCGCAGGCGGUUUCUUAAGUCUGAUGUGAAAGCCCCCGGCUCAACCGGGGAGGGUCAUUGGAAACUGGGAAACUUGAGUGCAGAAGAGGAGAGUGGAAUUCCACGUGUAGCGGUGAAAUGCGUAGAGAUGUGGAGGAACACCAGUGGCGAAGGCGACUCUCUGGUCUGUAACUGACGCUGAGGAGCGAAAGCGUGGGGAGCGAACAGGAUUAGAUACCCUGGUAGUCCACGCCGUAAACGAUGAGUGCUAAGUGUUAGGGGGUUUCCGCCCCUUAGUGCUGCAGCUAACGCAUUAAGCACUCCGCCUGGGGAGUACGGUCGCAAGACUGAAACUCAAAGGAAUUGACGGGGGCCCGCACAAGCGGUGGAGCAUGUGGUUUAAUUCGAAGCAACGCGAAGAACCUUACCAGGUCUUGACAUCCUCUGACAACCCUAGAGAUAGGGCUUUCCCUUCGGGGACAGAGUGACAGGUGGUGCAUGGUUGUCGUCAGCUCGUGUCGUGAGAUGUUGGGUUAAGUCCCGCAACGAGCGCAACCCUUGAUCUUAGUUGCCAGCAUUCAGUUGGGCACUCUAAGGUGACUGCCGGUGACAAACCGGAGGAAGGUGGGGAUGACGUCAAAUCAUCAUGCCCCUUAUGACCUGGGCUACACACGUG
rnacentral:rRNA from 1 species